rnacentral:rRNA from 1 species
AUUGAACGCUGGCGGCAUGCCUUACACAUGCAAGUCGAACGGCAGCACGGGUGCUUGCACCUGGUGGCGAGUGGCGAACGGGUGAGUAAUAUAUCGGAACGUACCUUAUCGUGGGGAUAACGCAGCGAAAGCUGUGCUAAUACCGUAUAAGCCCUAAGGGGGAAAGCAGGGGACCGUAAGGCCUUGCGCGAUUAGAGCGGCCGAUACCUGAUUAGCUAGUUGGUGAGGUAAAGGCUCACCAAGGCAACGAUCAGUAGCUGGUCUGAGAGGACGAUCAGCAACACCGGGACUGAGACACGGCCCAGACUCCUACGGGAGGCAGCAGUGGGGAAUUUUGGACAAUGGGGGCAACCCUGAUCCAGCAAUGCCGCGUGAGUGAAGAAGGCCUUCGGGUUGUAAAGCUCUUUUGUCAGGGAAGAAACAGCAGCUCUAAUACAGUAUGCGAAUGACGGUACCUGAAGAAUAAGCACCGGCUAACUACGUGCCAGCAGCCGCAGUAA